GAGGCUGCAUGACCUUUGUUUGAAAGCUACGGCGGAUACGGAUAGGCUCGCGAGACAUUAGCUAGUUGGCGGGGUAACGGCCCACCAAGGCGACGAUGUCUAGGGGUUCUGAGAGGAAGGUCCCCCACAUUGGAACUGAGACACGGUCCAAACUCCUACGGGAGGCAGCAGUGAGGAAUAUUGGUCAAUGGCCGAAAGGCUGAACCAGCCAUGCCGCGUGCAGGAAUAAGGCCCUAUGGGUCGUAAACUGCUUUUGUGGUGGAGCAAUAAGACGUACGUGUACGUCGAUGAGAGUACAUCACGAAUAAGCAUCGGCUAACUCCGUGCCAGCAGCCGCGGUAAUACGGAGGAUGCAAGCGUUAUCCGGAUUUAUUGGGUUUAAAGGGUGCGUAGGCUGUUUGUCAAGUCAGGGGUGAAAUACCUGAGCCUAACUCAGGAACUGCCUUUGAUACUGGCAGGCUGGAAUACGGAUGCCGUGGGAGGAAUGAGUAGUGUAGCGGUGAAAUGCAUAGAUAUUACUCAGAACACCGAUUGCGAAGGCAUCUCACGAAUCCGUCAUUGACGCUGAGGCACGAAAGCG
rnacentral:rRNA from 1 species